AAGGGUGUAUGGUGAAUGCCUUGACAUUAUGAGACGAUGAAGGACGUAGCAGCCUGCGAUAAGCCUCGCUUAGGUGGCAAGCAACCUUUGACGCGGGGAUUUCCGAAUGGGGAAACCUAUCCUGAUGAAGUCAGGAUGACCUAGCAUUUAUGUUA
rnacentral:rRNA from 1 species